GAUGAACGCUGGCGGCGUGCCUAAUACAUGCAAGUCGAGCGAACGGACGAGAAGCUUGCUUCUGUGAUGUUAGCGGCGGACGGGUGAGUAACACGUGGAUAACCUACCUAUAAGACUGGGAUAACUUCGGGAAACCGGAGCUAAUACCGGAUAAUAUUUUGAACCGCAUGGUUCAAAAGUGAAAGACGGUCUUGCUGUCACUUAUAGAUGGAUCCGCGCUGCAUUAGCUAGUUGGUAAGGUAACGGCUUACCAAGGCAACGAUGCAUAGCCGACCUGAGAGGGUGGUCGGCCACACUGGAACUGAGACACGGUCCAGACUCCUACGGGAGGCAGCAGUAGGGAAUCUUCCGCAAUGGGCGAAAGCCUGACGGAGCAACGCCGCGUGAGUGAUGAAGGUCUUCGGAUCGUAAAACUCUGUUAUUAGGGAAGAACAUAUGUGUAAGUAACUGUGCACAUCUUGACGGUACCUAAUCAGAAAGCCACGGCUAACUACGUG
rnacentral:rRNA from 1 species